ensembl:snoRNA
UGGAUUGACGAUGACCACUGGUGGCAUAUGAGUCAUAUACGAUGAAUACAUGCCUGCAACUCUGAGGUUUGU